rnacentral:rRNA from 1 species
UACGUAGGGUGCAAGCGUUAAUCGGAAUUACUGGGCGUAAAGCGUGCGCAGGCGGUUUUGUAAGUCUGUCGUGAAAGCCCCGGGCUCAACCUGGGAAUUGCGAUGGAGACUGCAAGGCUUGAAUCUGGCAGAGGGGGGUAGAAUUCCACGUGUAGCAGUGAAAUGCGUUGAGAUGUGGAGGAACACCGAUGGCGAAGGCAGCCCCCUGGGUCAAGAUUGACGCUCAUGCACGAAAGCGUGGGGAGCAAACAGG